CGCGAAGAGCGCAGGCGGCUAAGAGAAGAACGGAGGCUGUUGAGAGAAGAAAAGAGGCGGGAACGACUGGAGCGAAGGCGUCUUGGCAGUAGAAGAAGCGACUCUGAGGAGGAUCUGGCCGCAGCACGCAGGGAGAAGGCCACGCUUGGCCUCAGCGCAGUCAGCGCAGGCUUGUCUGCCGUCAACACCGUGGGAACCUUGAGUACCCUUGGCAGACUUGGAGCCUUUGGAGGCGGAAACAAUGUAGGAGGACUUGGCGGCGGCAUUUCUGGCAGGAGGUGCACGACAUGCAUCUGAAAG
rnacentral:lncRNA from 1 species